ensembl:miRNA
UCUAUUAGGUUGGUGCAAAAGUAAUUGCAGUUUUUGGCAUUACUUUUAAUGGCAAAUACCGCAAUUACUUUUGUACCAACUUAAUAC